rnacentral:tRNA from 1 species
GCCUUGGAAGCUUGAAGCUUUCUUUUUUGUAAAGAGAAAUAGGUCAGUGUAAAUCUGAUUCAUGGCUGU